rnacentral:rRNA from 1 species
GACGAGCUCUCCAAACGUUAUUCGGUAUCACUGGGCUUAAAGAGUUCGUAGGUGGCUGCAUAAGUCCGUUGUGAAAGUCAAAGGCUCAACCUUUGAAAGCCGAUGGAUACUGUGGAGCUAGAGUACGGAAGAGGCGAGUGGAAUUCCUGGUGUAGCGGUGAAAUGCGCAGAUAUCAGGAGGAACACCGGUGGCGAAGGCGGGUCUCUGGGCCGUAACUGACGCUGAGGAGCGAAAGCGUGGGGAGCGAACAGG